AUACGUAGAGAGCAAGCGUUGUCCGGAAUCAUUGGGCGUAAAGGGUACGCAGGCGGAUAGGCAAGUCAAGUGUGAAAGUUCAUGGCCCAACCAUGAGAUUGCGUUUGAAACUGUCUAUCUUGAGUACAGCAGAGGGGAUCGGAAUUCCUGGUGGAGCGGUGAAAUGCGUAGAUAUCAGGAAGAGCACCAGUGGCGCAGGCGGAUCUCUGGGCUGUAACUGACGCUGAGGUACGAAAGCUAGGGCAGCGAACGGGAUUAGAUACCCCGGUAGUCCUAGCAGUAAACGCUGGACACCAGGUGUUGGUGGUUCGAAUCCAUCAGUGCCGCAGUUAACGCAUUAAGUGUCCCGCCUGGGGACUACGGUCGCAAGACUGAA
rnacentral:rRNA from 1 species